GAUGAACGCUAGCGGGAGGCCUAACACAUGCAAGCCGAGCGGUAUUGUUUCUUCGGAAAUGAGAGAGCGGCGUACGGGUGCGUAACACGUGUGCAACCUGCCUUUAUCUGGGGGAUAGCCUUUCGAAAGGAAGAUUAAUACUCCAUAAUAUAUUGAACGGCAUCGUUUAAUAUUGAAAGCUCUGGCGGAUAGAGAUGGGCACGCGCAAGAUUAGCUAGUUGGUGAGGUAGCGGCUCACCAAGGUGAUGAUCUUUAGGGGGCCUGAGAGGGUGAUCCCCCACACUGGUACUGAGACACGGACCAGACUCCUACGGGAGGCAGCAGUGAGGAAUAUUGGUCAAUGGGUGCAAGCCUGAACCAGCCAUCCCGCGUGAAGGACGACUGCCCUAUGGGUUGUAAACUUCUUUUGUAUAGGGAUAAACCUACCCUCGAGAGGGUAGCUGAAGGUACUAUACGAAUAAGCACCGGCUAACUCCGUG
rnacentral:rRNA from 1 species